rnacentral:sRNA from 1 species
AGCAGUCACGUGAAAGACCGAGCGCCGCGCGCCCAGGCGGGGCCUCCCGCCUGCACAAGGAGGGCAGAGUCCGUUGCGGCUGCCGCCCCGACGCCAGCGCAUCCCCGCUCGCCGCGCCCGCCGCCGCGAUGUCUGGGGCCGGCCUAGCCGCCGUGGUGAGCCGCCUGCCCCCGCAGCCUGGCGAGGAGCCGCAGACCCAUGAG